UUCAAUUAUUGGAUAAUCAAUAUUUCCAAACAAAAGCAAAAGGGAUAAAAACAAACUCUUAGAAACUUUCUGCGGAUUUAUUUACCAACACAACUUUCUCAGGUCCCUGAUGGCUUUUCCAAUACUGAUGCUUGACGUCGAUACUACGCUGUCUUGUUGGAAAUGUGACAUAAACAAAGUUUUUCCAACAAAAGGACAAAGGAAAAAUAAUAAAAACUUAAAGUAUUCCUACAUUAAACACAGUCCUAAGUCCCACAGGGAUAGUGUUGCAACAUAGACUGAGGUUUUCAGAGGUUAGUGAUACAUUACUCCACAUAAUAAGCUCAAAUGACAUGAGUUUAGGGGCUUUUCCCUACACAACAAUAUCACCCGGAAGUGGAAAAAUAACUUGCAUGAUGUCUAAAAACUAAAAGUGCUGUUGAUGUCGAAGCAAAAAAAAAAAUCCUAUUGUGAGUAGUUCUUUUUUUAACGUCUAAUUAUUGCAUAAAGACAAUCCACAUAUACAUGUCUUUUUUGAAAAUGCACGUUCCAUUUCAGCAUCAUGUGAGCUUCUUUCCACUCCUGACAGAACAUAAUACCUGUUAUAACAGGUAACGAGAGAUUAUGGCACAGUCAUAAGAUAAAUGCUCAGUGACAAAUCUUUGUUCUAAGGCAAAUACAGCUAAUUCUGUAAAUUGCCCCCCAGACACUCACUUCCUGCCUAAAGUCUAAAAGGUCCAAUACUGACAAUCAUUACAAAAAAGAAAAACAUCUAUGAUGAUCAGUGGUGUUUCUGCCUCCUGUGGCAGCAUCAAUGAGGGAGUUCUAGUGAAUCUUUUAAAAAAGUAAAUAUGUAUUUUCAUCAAAUGGGUUGAGGGCAGAAAUAUUCCACCAGUGCUGAGAUUUAACAAGUGUGAAUAAAUGUCAAGUCUGACAAGAUCUCAAUGCAAGUGCCAAAGCUUUAAUUUAUUUCUUUUAAAUGUUAUAAAGUGAUUCGCUUAACCUGAGAAUCCAAACAAUUGUAGUCAAAUUAAAGACAAACCAAAAAGUUGCAUUUGCUUUUUUAACUGACAUGAAUUUAUUCCAAACUAAAUGCAUGUCUGCUUUGGCACAGGUUGCUCCUAAGUGUAAAAUUAGUUGGGUUUGUGUUUUUGUGCUAACUGAGGGCUCUGGCUGCUCUGAUGCCAAUCCUCUCCUACGGUUCCCUAUUCAUCCAUGCCUACUUCCAUUUAUCACUCAUUCAGUUACUUUGCAUACUUUUUCUGUUCCUCGUGAGAGUUCAGUUUGUAAGAAAUGCUUACAUAAGUAUAGAUUUGUUGGUGCAGACGUCUUUUGUGUAGAAAUCACAGCGUUCAAUACAUUUAUUUGAGGAUAAAAUGUGGAUACUUUUAUGAGAGGGCCAAAGAUUUAACCGUUGAAUUAAUCAAAACAUUGGUCAGGUUGCAGUCAGUUGGAGCCACUCCAAGUGUUCACCAGGCCUGGUGAGAGAAACAUCAAUGCUGACAGAAAAUAUGCAAAGCUUAAAAUGAGAUUAAAGUUUCCAAAUGGAUGUUAUUCAUUCAUUUCUGCUAAAUUAGAGAAGUGGAUCUUUGCAUUUUGUAAAAGUGGCUCAUUUAUGCUUUAUAUGUGACUAUCUUAGAAAUAGUGCAUCAUUUUGUUGUCGUGUCCAAAAAAUCACUGGCAAUCUGGUUUUCAAAUUGCGAAUCAGAUGCAUCAAAGGAUGAUGAUAAAAUAUUAGUUUUUCUUAUCAUGAGAAGAAACACAAUGCAGGUAAAAACCACUGAGAUAACACUCGGUAUUUAGAUUACAGGAACAUUCUGUGAUGAGAUUUUUACAUUUAUGAGGAAACUGGUUUUCAUCAGGAACCAAAUGAACGAGGUCAUGAUGAAGAAUAGUAGUGGAAUUGCUACUUUUUGUCAGUUAAUAUCGUAAAAGUUUUGCAGAUGACAAAUGGAUUUUAAAGAACUGCUA